AGAUUGAACGCUGGCGGAAUGCUUUACACAUGCAAGUCGAACGGCAGCACGGGACUCAGGCAACUGAGCCCUGGUGGCGAGUGGCGAACGGGUGAGUAACAUAUCGGAACGUACCCAGUCGUGGGGGAUAACUCUCCGAAAGGAGAGCUAAUACCGCAUACGUCCUGAGGGAGAAAGCGGGGGACCUAAGGGUAACUGAGGGCCUCGCGCGAUUGGAGCGGCCGAUAUCGGAUUAGCUAGUUGGUGAGGUAAAGGCUCACCAAGGCGACGAUCCGUAGCGGGUCUGAGAGGACGACCCGCACACUGGAACUGAGACACGGUCCAGACUCCUACGGGAGGCAGCAGUGGGGAAUUUUGGACAAUGGGGGCAACCCUGAUCCAGCCAUUCCGCGUGAGUGAAGAAGGCCUC
rnacentral:rRNA from 1 species